rnacentral:rRNA from 1 species
CCUACGGGUGGCAGCAGUCGAGAAUCAUUCACAAUGGGGGAAACCCUGAUGGUGCGACGCCGCGUGGGGGAAUGAAGGUCUUCGGAUUGUAAACCCCUGUCAUGUGGGAGCAAAUUAAAAAGAUAGUACCACAAGAGGAAGAGACGGCUAACUCUGUGCCAGCAGCCGCGAUAAUACAGAGGUCUCAAGCGUUGUUCGGAAUGACUGGGCGUAAAGCGUGCGUAGGCUGUUUCGUAAGCCGUGUGUGAAAGGCGCGGGCUCAACCCGCGGACGGCACAUGAUACUGCGAGACUAGAGUAAAGGAGGGGGAACCGGAAUUCUCGGUGUAGCAGUGAAAUGCGUAGAUAUCGAGAGGAACACUCGUGGCGAAGGCGGGUUCCUGGACAUUAACUGACGCUGAGGCACGAAGGCCAGGGGAGCGAAAGGGAUUAGAUACCCCAGUAGUC